UGAUUACGUGUCCCUGCCCUUUGUACACACCGCCCGUCGCUACUACCGAUUGAAUGGCUCAGUGAGACCUCCGGACUGGCCCAGAGAGGUGGGCAACUACCACUCAGGGCCGGAAAGUUGUUCAAACUCGGUCAUUUAGAGGAAGUAAAAGUCGUAACAAGGUCUCCGUUGGUGAACCAGCGGAGGGAUCAUUACCGAGUUAUUACUCCAAACCCUUUGUGAACCUUACCUAUGUUCUGUUGCCUGGGGGGGGAGAAAGACCCCUUAAAAAGGGCCAAGCCCCCGCCGGCAGCACCAAACUCUUGCAUUUAUAGCGGAUUACAUUUCUGAAUACAAUACAAAACAAAUCAAAACUUUCAACAACGGAUCUCUUGGUUCUGGCAUCGAUGAAGAACGCAGCGAAAUGCGAUAAGUAAUGUGAAUUGCAGAAUUCAGUGAAUCAUCGAAUCUUUGAACGCACAUUG
rnacentral:rRNA from 1 species